AAACAACAAUGGCAACAGACACCUCCCAUGGUUGUGGAAAAGGUGCCAGUCUGUUUGAGAAGGAUCAAAUCAUUGGCAUACAUCAAGCAGAGAAAAUAUUUACUACUAAAAAUGGGUUAAGAAGUGUCCAACACAUUAAAAACUGGAAGGAUGG